CUUAAUUCAGCCGAAACUAAAGCAAAUCUAAAACACACGUGAUUUGAUUGAUUCUUCAACUUUACAAUCUUAAUAGUCUCAAAAUCAAAUACAAUUAAAAUAACUUGACUAUCCAAACCAGAAAUCAACUAGAAUAUACAAUAAAUCAGGUCACUAAAGACAUAAUAUCACAGAAAAAUACAACAGGAUCAUAAAUAAAGUUGUUGUUAUGCUUUAAACUCUGUUUUUCAAUUCAUCCUUCAAAUUGAGCGUCAAAUUAAGCAGAAUUCAGAAAUGUGUACCUGAGUAUAGCAAAAUAAAUAGAAAAACCAAACUUGAGAUCAAGGGAAGCAGCAGUAGCGGAAAAUAACAAUAUAACAGUAGUGAACCAGCUACUUCAAACAAAAUUCAGCUUCUUUCAACUUAAUAGAAAACCCAUAUGGAGACCAUACUAUGGAAACUUAAAUACUCGGAUCAAUCAUCAAAUUUUCAUUAGAAUUGAAACAAUUUUUACCAAAGGAGUGCAAUAAUUUCAGUGUUCUCUAAGCUUUUGCGACUCCAGCCGUUUCUCAAUUUUUUUUCCAGUAUUUUUUAAUCUCUAAUUUCUUACUUGUGAGGGAAGAAAGAGUACCUUUAUAGGCAAGUCUUAGGGUAGCUAAAAAGGAAUUCAGUUUUCAUUUUUGUUGUUUAAUCCUUAGUUCAAAAAUCAGUAUUUAAGUUUAGUCUCAAAGACACAUUCCCAAAAGUUUCCUAAAUCAGUUAUUCAUAUAUUCUCUAGCCUAAAUUCGUAAAAUACCCCAUAAACCCUUGCUAUUUACUUGAUAAAUCUCAUGGGUCAAUUUGACCCAAUGGUUCAACUCAAAAACCUGGGCUUGCAAGACAGGUUUAAUUUCCUUUUCCAGGGCCUGUGAUUAAUGGAGCCCAGAUUCAAAUCAGAAAAACAUGAAUUUAAAGGGCCAUCUACAAAUUUCAUAGUUACUUGCAUUUGAAAACCACACAAAAAAUGAAAUAAAAACAAGAACAAAGAAGUUAAAACAAUCAUGCACUAACAGACAUUUAAUUUAAACAUGCGAUAAGAAAUGAUUCUAAACGAAAAGAAAACAAUAGAGAAAAACAUAAGAGAUGAAGCAAAAAGAGAUGAAAACUAGAAUUUAAAUGCAAAAGAAGAAGAAAAAUGAUAGAAGGAAAAAGAUGAAGAAAAUACCUAUGAACCAGCUGGAACAAAUCAUGAAAUUACCCCUCAAGUCUUCGAUUUUUACCGAAAGGGGCCUUAAUAGUGUGUUCUCAAAUGAAAACACACGAAUAAGGUCAAUUUCGAUUUCAAACCUUCAUUAAACUCGUUGAUUUGGUAUUUUGGGGUUUUAAUUUGGGACCGGUCAAAGAUGGCACCGCCGGCUUGAGUCGGUGGAAAAUUGGGGCGGCUCUAGGGUUUUAGUUUAAUCUCAGAUGAGGGAGACGAAUGGUGAAAGAGAUGACUUNNN
rnacentral:lncRNA from 1 species